UUCUCCUCUUUCUCCUUCAAUAAAUAUUGUUCAGAUAGCGAAGGUAUCUCGAUUGUUGCAGCUUCCGCCAUUGCUGGAAAAGGGAAGGAUGUGCUAGCUGACUGAGUAGUCGGCCUCCAAGUACAACGGAAUAAAAGAGGGGAGAGGAAAAGAGCAGCGCUCCAGCUUAGGUUAAGACCGAAAGAAGAUUUACUGCGUUACUGCGGACGUAAAAGUGAGAGCCGGAAACACGUGUCCACGCAUUGGAGCCUCA
rnacentral:misc_RNA from 1 species